rnacentral:rRNA from 1 species
UACGUAGGGGGCAAGCGUUGUCCGGAAUCAUUGGGCGUAAAGCGCGUGUAGGCGGUUCGGUAAGUCGGCUGUGAAAGUCCAGGGCUCAACCCUGGGAUGCCGGUCGAUACUGCCGGACUAGAGUUCGGAAGAGGCAGAUGGAAUUCCCGGUGUAGCGGUGGAAUGCGUAGAGAUCGGGAAGAACAUCGGUGGCGAAGGCGGUCUGCUGGGCCGUUGCUGACGCUGAGGCGCGACAGCGUGGGGAGCAAACAGG